rnacentral:tRNA from 1 species
GGACUGUUAGCUCAGUCGGUAGAGCAGCUGACUCUUAAUCAGCGGGUCGUGGGUUCGAGUCCCUCACAGUCCACCA